UACGUAGGGUGUGAGCGUUGUCCGGAAUUACUGGGCGUAAAGAGCUCGUAGGUGGUUUGUCGCGUCGUCUGUGAAAUUCCGGGGCUUAACUUCGGGCGUGCAGGCGAUACGGGCAAUACUUGAGUGCUGUAGGGGAGACUGGAAUUCCUGGUGUAGCGGUGGAAUGCGCAGAUAUCAUGAGGAACACCGAUGGCGAAGGCAGGUCUCUGGGCAGUUACUGACGCUGAGGAGCGAAAGCAUGGGUAGCGAACAGGAUUA
rnacentral:rRNA from 1 species